ACAGAAUUCAGCCCCACAGCCUUCCUUCGUCCUUGUAGACUUCACAAGAAAACAUCCACCGUGUACACGAUGGAUGAGGUCAUGGCAGAUCGCAGAGUCCACAUCCGGACCAUCGCUCAGAUGGGUCCCAAGACUGUGCACGCCUGAUCAGGAAAGCACGCGCUACACCACAUCCAGUGACAAAUCCAGCUGUUAAGGACAGAUCAUGCGGGUUUCCGUGCCUGGUUUGUGACUGUGGACGAAACCUGUGCCCACAACUUCCAAUGAGAGCAAAGCCCAGACCAAACAGUGGAGCCCCCCUCCCUUCUCGUCCCCAUCGCCGAAGAAGACUCGGGCUGUUCCAUUAGCAGCAAGGACGCCAUCAAGGCCAAACAACUCAGUAUGCUCCGAAAGAAGAUCCUGUUCCAUCUGGACAAUGCGUCCCCACGCCGUGCUGCCGUGGCUGUGGCUGCCGUCCACCCCUGCAGCUUUUGCGUGGUCAGCUAUACAGCGUACU